rnacentral:rRNA from 1 species
UCCUACGGGAGGCAGCAGUGGGGAAUAUUGCGCAAUGGGCGAAAGCCUGACGCAGCCAUGCCGCGUGAGGGAAGACUGCCUAUGGGUUGUAAACCUCUUUUUUCAGGGAGGAAUAAAAUGACGUGUACCUGAAGAAUAAGCAUCGGCUAACUCCGUGCCAGCAGCCGCGGUAAGACGGAGGAUGCAAGUGUUAUCCGGAAUCACUGGGCGUAAAGCGUCUGUAGGUGGUUUAAUAAGUCAACUGUUAAAUCUUGAGGCUCAACUUCAAAAUCGCAGUCGAAACUAUUAGACUAGAGUAUAGUAGAGGUAAAGGGAAUUUCCAGUGGAGCGGUGAAAUGCGUAGAUAUUGGAAAGAACACCGAUGGCGAAAGCACUUUACUGGGCUAUUACUAACACUCAGAGACGAAAGCUAGGGUAGCAAAUGGGAUUAGAUACCCCAGUAGUCCUAGCCGUAAACUAUGGAUACUAGAUGUUGAACAGAUCGACCUGUGCAGUAUCAAAGCUAACGCGUUAAGUAUCCCGCCUGGGAAGUAUGCUCGCAAGAGUGAAACUCAAAUGAAUUGACGG